GCCUUAGAACUAGCCAGAGGGACCCAAGGGAUAGUCAGGGACAGGCAGACAUGCAGCCAGGGUUCUGGGGCCUGGACAGGGGUAGCCAGGCCCCGUGACAGGAAGACCCCGAGCUCCGGCCCGGGGAGGGGCCAUGGUGCUGCCUGCCCAACAUGUCAGCCGAGGUGCGGCUGAGGCAGCUCCAGCAGCUGGUGCUGGACCCCGGCUUCCUGGGGCUGGAGCCCCUGCUCGACCUUCUCCUGGGCGUCCACCAGGAGCUGGGCGCCUCCCACCUAGCCCAGGACAAGUAUGUGGCCGACUUCUUGCAGUGGGUGGAUCCCAUUGCAGCAAGGCUUAAGGAGGUCCGACUGCAGAGGGAUGACUUUGAGAUUCUGAAGGUGAUCGGGCGAGGGGCAUUCAGUGAGGUAGCGGUGGUGAAGAUGAAACAGACAGGCCAGGUGUAUGCCAUGAAGAUUAUGAAUAAGUGGGACAUGCUGAAGAGAGGCGAGGUGUCGUGCUUCCGGGAAGAAAGGGAUGUACUGGUGAAAGGGGACCGGCGCUGGAUCACGCAGCUGCACUUUGCCUUCCAGGAUGAGAACUACCUGUACCUGGUCAUGGAAUACUACGUGGGCGGGGACCUGCUAACGCUGCUGAGCAAGUUUGGGGAGCGGAUCCCCGCCGAGAUGGCGCGCUUCUACCUGGCCGAGAUUGUCAUGGCCAUAGACUCGGUGCACCGGCUGGGCUACGUGCACAGGGACAUCAAACCAGAUAACAUUUUGCUGGACCGGUGUGGGCACAUCCGACUGGCCGACUUUGGCUCCUGCCUCAAACUCCAGCCUGAUGGAAAGGUGAGGUCGCUGGUGGCUGUGGGUACCCCGGACUACCUGUCUCCUGAGAUUCUGCAGGCUGUUGGCGGAGGGCCUGGGGCAGGCAGCUACGGGCCUGAGUGUGACUGGUGGGCGCUGGGCGUGUUCGCCUAUGAAAUGUUCUACGGGCAGACACCCUUCUAUGCCGACUCCACGGCUGAGACAUAUGCCAAGAUUGUGCAUUACAAGGAACACCUGUCUCUGCCUCUGGCAGACACGGGUGUCCCUGAGGAAGCUCAAGAUCUCAUUCGGGGCCUGCUAUGCCCUGCGGAGAUAAGGCUAGGCCGAGGUGGGGCAGGUGAUUUCCAGAAGCACCCUUUCUUCUGUGGCCUUGAUUGGGAGGUUCUCCGAGACAGUGUACCCCCCUUUACACCAGACUUCGAAGGUGCCACAGACACAUGCAACUUCGAUGUGGUAGAGGACCGGCUCACUGCCAUGGUGAGCGGGGGCGGGGAGACACUAUCGGACAUGCAGGAGGACAUGCCACUUGGGGUCCACCUGCCUUUCGUGGGUUACUCCUACUCUUGCAUGGCCCUCAGAGACAAUGAGGUCCUGGACCCCACCCCGAUGGAACUGGAGGCCCUGCAGUUGCCUGAGGCAGACUUGCAAGUGCUCAACUUGGAGCCGCCUGUGUCCCCACCCAAUCAAGUGGCAGAAGUGGCCGGCCCAGCAGCUGUCCCCUCAGCAAAAGCUGAGACCGUCGUGACGCUGCGGGAGCUCCAGGAAGCCCUGGAGGAGGAGGUUCUCACCCGGCAGAGCCUGAGCCGCGAGCUGGAAGCCAUCCGCACUGCCAACCAGAACUUCUCCAGCCAAUUGCAGGAGGCCGAGGUCCGGAACCGAGACCUGGAGGCUCACGUUCGGCAGCUGCAAGAGCGGAUGGAGAUGCUGCAGCCUCCGGGAGCCCCAGGCGAGUCUCUCACACACCCCAGGCCAGGAGGGCACCGGGUGAAGAUGGGGGCGUGCUGGGUGUGUGGACACUUGGGACAGGGGAGGGUCCCAGGCUGGGGCACGCCAAGCCACCGCCCUUUUCCGCCCUCCACGCUCCAUACACCUCUCUUCUCCUUCCAGCAGUCAUGGGGGUCCCCAGUCCCUGGGCCAUGGAUCCACCUUCCCAUCUAGAUGGCCCCCCGGCCGUGGCUCUGGGCCAAUGCCCGCUGGUGGGGCCAGGCCCCGUGCACCGCCGUCACCUGCUGCUCCCUGCCAGGGUCCUUAGGUCUGGCCUAUCCGAGGCGCGUUGCCUGCUCCUGUUCGCCGCUGCUCUGGCUGCUGCCGCCACACUGGGCUGCACUGGGUUGGUGGCCUAUACCCCAAUCUGGUGUUUCCCGGGAGCCACCUUCGCCCCCUGAACCCUAAGACUCCAAGCCAUCUUUCAUCUAGGCCCCCUUGGAAAGCCGGGUGACCUGGGAACGGCCCAGAGCGUCUCUGCGCCCAUCCUCCCUCCCCCUCCAGCCACCCCACUCUACACUCCUGCGAGCCUGGGUGCCCACCCGGCUCCGCUCCUGUGAUCCGGGCCUGCCCCCUGGCGGCCGGGGAGGGAGGAGCAGGACCCGUGCGCAGGAAUCCAGUUCCUGCAGAGCAGGCGGCUUUGAAGACUGCCGCUGCUACCAGGACAUUCGCCAACCACUUUACUCAGGCCUGACGUGGAUAGGCAAACAGCUCAGCCCAUCCGAUUUCACUUUUCACGCUUCCAGCCACUUGUCACAAACCAUAAAUCCUUGUGCAUGAGCCCCUGAUCUCUGGGGAGGUCCCAGUCCCAUAGCAAACGAUCAGCACAACCUCUACCAGCUUUCAUGGGAGCCUCUGGCUUUUAACAGCCCCGCUCCUAGGGAUGCUGCGACGACCCCUUCCUCACAUAUGCUGCCGUCGUUGCCACUGCUGCACACCCCCUCCCCCAAGGCAGUGUGGGUAUUUAUUGACCUUGUCCUCUGACUCACUGACAGACUCCGGGACCCACGUUUUGGAUGCACUGAGACUCUACAUUCCUCGGUAUUUAUUGUCUGUCCCCACCUAUGAAUCCACCCCCGACCCUUGCGAAUAAAAUAGUUUCUGGUCUGCCCUAA